UACGGAGGGUGCAAGCGUUAAUCGGAAUUACUGGGCGUAAAGCGCACGCAGGUGGCUGAGUCAGUCGAUUGUGAAAGCCCUGGGCUUAACCUGGGAAUUGCAGUCGAUACUACUUAGCUAGAGUAUGGGAGAGGGCAGUGGAAUUCCCGGUGUAGCGGUGAAAUGCGUAGAUAUCAAGAGGAACACCAGUGGCGAAGGCGAGUCCCUGGACAACACCUGACACUGAGGCACGAAAGCUAGGGGAGCAAACAGG
rnacentral:rRNA from 1 species